rnacentral:rRNA from 1 species
AACGAACGCUGGCGGCAUGCCUAACACAUGCAAGUCGAACGAGAUCUUCGGGUCUAGUGGCGCACGGGUGCGUAACGCGUGGGAAUCUGCCCUUUGGUUCGGAAUAACAGUUGGAAACGACUGCUAAUACCGGAUGAUGACGAAAGUCCAAAGAUUUAUCGCCAGAGGAUGAGCCCGCGUAGGAUUAACUAGUUGGUGUGGUAAAGGCGCACCAAGGCGACGAUCCUUAGCUGGUCUGAGAGGAUGAUCAGCCACACUGGGACUGAGACACGGCCCAGACUCCUACGGGAGGCAGCAGUGGGGAAUAGUGGACAAUGGGCGAAAGCCUGAUCCAGCAAUGCCGCGUGAGUGAUGAAGGCCUUAGGGUUGUAAAGCUCUUUUACCCGGGAUGAUAAUGACAGUAUCGGGAGAAUAAGCUCCGGCUAACUCCGUGCCAGCCGCCGCCGUAA